UACGUAGGUGGCAAGCGUUGUCCGGAAUUAUUGGGCGUAAAGCGCGCGCAGGCGGUCUUUUAAGUCUGAUGUGAAAGCCCACGGCUCAACCGUGGAAGGUCAUUGGAAACUGAGAGACUUGAGUACAGAAGAGGAAAGCGGAAUUCCACGUGUAGCGGUGAAGUGCGUAGAGAUGUGGAGGAACACCAGUGGCGAAGGCGGCUUUCUGGUCUGUAACUGACGCUGAGGCGCGAAAGCGUGGGGAGCAAACAGG
rnacentral:rRNA from 1 species